UACGUAGGGUGCGAGCGUUGUCCGGAAUUAUUGGGCGUAAAGAGCUCGUAGGCGGCUUGUCGCGUCGUUCGCGAAAACCCACAGCUCAACUGUGGGCUUGCGGGCGAUACGGGCAGGCUAGAGUUCGGUAGGGGAGACUGGAAUUCCUGGUGUAGCGGUGAAAUGCGCAGAUAUCAGGAGGAACACCGGUGGCGAAGGCGGGUCUCUGGGCCGAUACUGACGCUGAGGAGCGAAAGCGUGGGGAGCGAACAGG
rnacentral:rRNA from 1 species